rnacentral:lncRNA from 1 species
CUUAGAUUGAUUUGAAAAUUAGGACAAUAACUUUCGGACUUGUAAAAAUAGGACACUAAUUAUUUUUUAGAGUAAAAUAGGACACUAAUUAAUAAGCGUCGUAAAAAUAGGACAUUUUUCAGCCGAUAAUUGGCUAAAAAAUGUCCUGCGGAUGCAACACUUAUUAAUUAGUGUCCUAUUUUACUCUAAAAAAAUAAUUAGUGUCCUAUUUUUACAAGUCCGAAAGUUAUUGUCCUAAUUUCCAAAUCAAUCUAAGUUACUGUCCUAAAAAACCCUCGAACUC